UUCACGUCAAGUGAUCUUGCCACAAUCAAAAGGAGACAGACAACGUGCAGCGAAUAAUGGUGCAGCAUUUAUUGAGAAUUUGUGAAGGCUACAUACUCUAGGGCGACAACUCAAGGGAUGGAGAAAGGAGAAAGAAUAAAUGCAGGCGCACAGCACACAUUGCAAAAGAGUGAUGAUUGAUCAGUUGUGUAAAUGUUUGACUUCAUGAAGAAGAGUUUUCCUAGGUUAUUCAGGGAAUGAGGUAAAGAUCUUGGCUUCAGGAUUUAAGUCAAGACCAGAACUGUAUGCCAAGAUCUGUGAAGCUGGCAAGAGACCUGCAGGACCUAAAGGAGAAGAGGAAGAGGGUGGCAAUCUGCCUCAAAGUCAUCACCAGUUCCCGCACCAGCGGAUGAGGAAUGGAUUUCCUCCUGACAGUAUGAUGGCUGUCACAAAGGCAGGGAGUGAUUUGUGUGGAAAUGGCAUGGCGGUUUCUAGAAUUUGGCUGUGCAGUUGAUGGUCCUUUGGGGGAGAUGAUCAGCAGCUGCAGGGCUGGCAGCAGCUGGAUCCGUAGCUCUCAGGGAGGCCGCUGCACAGGCGGACGCAUGUGGGGUAGUAGCAGGUUCUGGUGCUGUACACGGGUCCAGAGCAGGCUGGCUGGCUGUAAGUGGUCAGGCCACAGCUGGGCUGGCAGCAGCUGGACUGACAGCAGCUGGGCUGGCAGCAGCUGGACUGACAGCAGCUUGGCUGGCAGCAGCUGGGCUGGCAGCAGCUGGACUGACAGCAGCUGGGCUGGCAGCAGCUGGACACGCAGCACCUAGGCUGGCAGCAAGGGGUGCUGUAGCAGCUGGUCACACAGGUGGGCUUGAAGGAGGUCCUGCAGCAGGUGGUCUGACAGCAGGUCGGGCGGCAGCAGGGCUGGCAGCAGCUGGAGCCACAGCUGGUCUGUCCACAGCAGCUGGGCUGGCCGCAGGGGGAGCUGCAGCAGCUGGAGAUGCAGGCUGGCUUCCAGCAGGUGGUCCUGCAGGUGGUGGUCCUGCAGCAGGUGGGCUGGCAGCAGGGGGAGCAGCAGGAGUGGGUCAUGGUGUCAGGUGUGGAGGCGGGUCCUGGUCACAGGC
rnacentral:lncRNA from 1 species